GCACCACAAGAACGCGUGGAGCAUGUGGCUUAAUUUGACUCAACGCGGGAAAUCUUACCGGGUCCGGACACACUGAGGAUUGACAGGCAAUAUCUCAUGUUAACGGUAAGUUUACUUACCGCUUAACAUCAGUGUUAAAUAUGCUAGUCCUUUCAUGAUUAUGUGAUAGGUGGUGCAUGGCCGUUCUUAGUUCGUGGAGUGAUCUGUCUGCUUAAUUGCGUUUCACUAAGGGCCCAUAAAUUCAAGGUAUGUUAGCUCUCGUCGCUCUAUGGACCCCUUAACUCCAAUAUUCUUAUUGUGUUAAGCGCGUGUCUUUAUUUUAAGAGUUUUAAGACACUGCGCAUGCUGUUGGGCUCUGAAAGCAACAAACGUGACCGCAACGUCUUGUUGCCUUAAACUAGCGUAUAUUGCAAUUUAUUG
rnacentral:rRNA from 1 species